rnacentral:tRNA from 1 species
GGGGUUGUAGCUCAGUGGUAGAGCGCUCACGCCCCACGUGUAAGGCCCUGAGUUCGAUCUUCGGCACCACA